UGAAGACGACGACGUUGAUAGGUCGGGUGUGUAAGCGCAGCGAUGCGUUGAGCUAACCGAUACUAAUGAACCGUGAGGCUUAACCUUACAACGCCGAAGGUGUUU
rnacentral:rRNA from 2 species